rnacentral:rRNA from 1 species
GACGAACCGUGCGAACGUUGUUCGGAAUUACUGGGCGUAAAGGGCUCGUAGGCGGCCAACUAAGUCAGACGUGAAAUCCCUCGGCUUAACCGGGGAACUGCGUCUGAUACUGGAUGGCUUGAGGUUGGGAGAGGGAUGCGGAAUUCCAGGUGUAGCGGUGAAAUGCGUAGAUAUCUGGAGGAACACCGGUGGCGAAGGCGGCAUCCUGGACCAAUUCUGACGCUGAGGAGCGAAAGCCAGGGGAGCAAACGGG